UUGCAAACGAGGCGGUUACCCGAAUUUGAGAAAGCAAUUUUAAACGGGGGGGCGGGAUAGAAACAUUUAACACAGUUUGAAUAUCUCCGUAGCAGAAGAACAGAGUCGGCGAAGACAAAACAGUAUAAAUAUGGCAUCACAAAAUAUGGACCCUGAAGCAGCCUCAUCCACAGCAGCUCUGAAAGGCAAUGAAACUGGUGGCAGCGCAGCUAAGGGCUCAGUCACCAAAAGGCUUCAGCAAGAACUUAUGACACUAAUGAUGUCUGGAGAUAAAGGGAUUUCAGCUUUUCCAGAGUCCGAUAACCUUUUUAAGUGGAUCGGCACAAUAGACGGCGCACAGGGAACGGUUUACGAAGGCCUGCGCUACAAGUUGUCAUUUGAGUUUCCUAGUGGCUACCCUUACAAAGCCCCACGGGUCAAGUUCAUCACACAUUGCUUCCACCCCAACGUCGACGAUCAAGGAUUCAUUUGUCUGGAUAUCUUGAAAGACAAAUGGUCUGCGCUUUACGACGUGCGGUCCAUCCUCCUGUCCAUUCAGAGUUUACUCGGAGGUGCGGCUGUUAUUGAAUUUGAUGUUCACGUUAACAUAUUCUGCUGGCUUGCUCCAAUUAAUCAACACGGAUCGUUAAAUCACAGUCUUUUUGUUACACUCUGAAGGGAUUUUGCAUUGUUGACUUGUUGCCUCACCCCAAUCUGUCUGUUCUAGAGCCCAACAAUGAGAGUCCCUUGAACACGACUGCUGCUGGGCUUUGGGAUAACCAGGAAGCUUUCAAAGCCCAUUUGAUGUCUACCUACGAGAACUGACCCCAAGAUCUUACAGUCUGUCUUAUUUCUGUGUUUGUCUCUGCUUCUGAUAAUGUAAAUUUAAAUGCUGGGUAUGUCUGUACAAUAUUUUUAUGUUUCUAUGUGAAUAAAGAUGUCUUUAUGUUAAAACC